rnacentral:rRNA from 1 species
UACAGAGGGUGCUAGCGUUGUUCGGAAUCAUUGGGCGUAAAGGGCGUGUAGGCGGUUUGUUAAGUCAUGUGUGAAAUCCCUCGGCUCAACCGGGGAACGACGCAUGAAACUGGCAAGCUAGAGUACCAAAGAGGGGGGUGGAAUUCCUGGUGUAGCGGUGAAAUGCGCAGAUAUCAGGAGGAACACCGAUGGCGAAGGCAGCUCGCUGGGACGGUACUGACGCUGAGGCGCGAAAGCGUGGGGAGCAAACAGG